GUGGGAGGAAGCGCGUCCCAAGGCCCAGGAUCUGCGAGGCGACUCGGGGAAAACGCAGGCAGAAAAUAAAGCACGCGAAGAAGUUAACUCGGUGCCAUUGGGCAGAGGGUGAGAGCCCAGCAAACCAGAGAGAUCAGCUUGCCCACAUCAGUGGCGAGGAGUGCGGAGAGUGGGUGAGGCUGGGGCAGGAAGCAGGCCAGCCUGCCAGAGCCCAGGAACAGGACCUGCUGAAGCUCACACCCGUGGACCACCCAGACUGCCUGCCGCUACAGGAUGCCCUCCGCAUCUCCCAGGACUUCUUUCUGGCAUCAGUGUGGACAUUGACCCCGCUGGACUGCAGUCACAGUGGACUCCCAAGGGCAGGAUCCACCUCUGAUGUUCAGUGAAGACUACCAGAAAAGUCUGCUAGAGCAGUACCAUCUGGGUCUGGAUCAAAAACGCAGAAAAUACGUGGUUGGAGAGCUCAUCUGGAAUUUUGCCGAUUUCAUGACUAACCAGUGUGGUUGAGGAGUGGGCCCAGGGCACCUUCAAACUCAACCCCAAUGCUGAGAACAUCCACACAGCCAACAAGCACCACCUGAAGG
rnacentral:sRNA from 1 species